rnacentral:rRNA from 1 species
GUCCUCAUGGACAUUUUCCACCCACCUCCCCGCCUCCAUUCUUUCUUUUUUUUCUCCCCCUCAGAUCCUCUCCCAUCUCCCCCGAUGCAGAUCCUCCUCACCCCCUCGUCGCUGCUACCCACCUCCGCCGCCACCCUCACUCCCCCCUCGUCUCCCUCGUCCUCGACCAACCUCGCCGCCAUGCAGGGGAUGGGUUGUUGCCGCGUGCUGUUCCUGCGGGUUCUCGCUGCGGGGGCCGGCUCCCAUGAUUCAAUCCAAUCCUCUCCCCUGAUCCCACCUGCCGGCGGCCGGCGUGCGCUUUGCUUCGUCGUUCCCCACCCUAGCAGUCGAUCCUGGAUGCCCCUGCUUCACCGGCCUCCUCCAUCUCUUCCGGCAAGAUCUGACGCCCCCGCCCACCUUCUUCCCGCGGAGGAUGACGAGGGCGAGGAUGCGGAAGUCGGCGAGGGGGGAGGCGGCGGCGGGAUGCGCACGGUGGCCAUCCGAUGGCCCUGCGUCACCUGCGCCCUCAAGAACAAGCAUGAGGACAUGGUG